UACGUCAUAAUAAAGUACUUUUAAAGUUAAAUUGGUUACUUUUUACAAUUAACACUGUCCAUUUUUCUUUAUUUCCUCCAGACCCCAUCCACUUAAGGACUCUGGGUAUCCACUGCUGCAGAAAUACAUAAGCUACAAGAUGUUUAACAUAGUUGUAUAUG